rnacentral:rRNA from 1 species
UUCCGAUUAGUGGGGGAUAGCCGGCCUAACGGCCGGGUAAUACCGCAUACGAUCACCGGGCGGCAUCGUCUGGUGAGGAAACCUCCGGGGCUAAUCGAGGCGCUCGCGGCCUAUCAGCUAGUUGGCGGGGUAAUGGCCCACCAAGGCGAUGACGGGUAGCUGGUCUGAGAGGAUGGCCAGCCACAUUGGGACUGAGACACGGCCCAGACUCCUACGGGAGGCAGCAGUGGGGAAUAUUGCGCAAUGGACGAAAGUCUGACGCAGCGACGCCGCGUGUGGGAUGAAGCCUUUCGGGGCGUAAACCACUGUUGCCCGGGACGAAUCUCCCCUUUCGAGGGGAUUGACGGUACCGGGUGAGGAAGCACCGGCUAACUCUGUGCCAGCAGCCGCGGUAAUACAGAGGGUGCGAGCGUUGUCCGGAAUCACUGGGCGUAAAGGGCGCGUAGGUGGCUUGGUAAGCGUGUGGUGAAAGUCCGGGGCUCAACCCCG